rnacentral:rRNA from 1 species
GACGAACGCUGGCGGCGUGCUUAACACAUGCAAGUCGAACGGUGAAGCGCCUUCCUUUUUGGUUGGUGUGGAUGAGUGGCGAACGGGUGAGGAACACGUGAGUAACCUGCUCCCUUCUUCUGGAUAACCGCAUGAAAGUGUGGCUAAUACGGGAUAUUCUGUGUCUGUCGCAUGAUGGGUCUGUGAAAGAUAUUGUUUCUGUGGGGGAUGGUCUCGCGGUCUAUCAGCUUGUUGGUGGGGUGAUGGCCUACCAAGGCGGUGAGGGGUAGCCGGCCUGAGAGGGUGGACGGUCACACUGGGACUGAGAGGCGGACAAGACUACUACGGGAGGCAGCAGUGAGUAAUAUUGCACAAUGGGAGCAAGGAUGAUGCAGCGACGCCGCGUGAGGGAUGGAGGCCUUCUGGUUGAGAACCUCUUUCGCGAGUGAAGCAGGCCUGCCUCGUUUGUGGGUGGGUUGACGGUAGCUGGAGAAGAAGCGCCGGCUAACUACGUG